rnacentral:tRNA from 1 species
GCCUGGCUAGCUCAGUAGGUUGAGCAUCUGACUUCAGCUCAGGUCAUGGUCUCUUGGCCUGUGAGUUUGAGCCCCACGUUGGGCU